CGGGAUGUAGCUCAGUUGGCUAGAGCACCUGCUUUGGGAGCAGGGGGUCGCACGUUCAAGUCGUGUCAUCCCGA
rnacentral:tRNA from 1 species